CAGCCGCCACGGUAAUACGAAGGGGGCUAGCGUUGUUCGGAUUAACUGGGCGUAAAGGGCGCGUAGGCGGGUCUUUAAGUCAGGGGUGAAAUCCCAAGGCUCAACCUUGGAACUGCCUUUGAUACUGGAGAUCUUGAGUCCGGGAGAGGUGAGUGGAACUGCGAGUGUAGAGGUGAAAUUCGUAGAUAUUCGCAAGAACACCAGUGGCGAAGGCGGCUCACUGGCCCGGUACUGACGCUGAGGCGCGAAAGCGUGGGGAGCAAACAGGAUUAGAUACCCCUGUAGUCCCUGUCUCUUAUAC
rnacentral:rRNA from 1 species